AGAGUUUGAUCCUGGCUCAGGACGAACGCUGGCGGCGUGCCUAACACAUGCAAGUCGAGCGGAGAAUGCGGAUAUGUUUACAUAGAAGCGUUCUUAGCGGCGGACGGGUGAGUAACACGUGGGUAACCUGCCUCAAAGUGGGGGAUAGCCUUCCGAAAGGAAGAUUAAUACCGCAUAAGCCUACAGUAUCGCAUGGUACAGCAGGAAAAGGAGCAAUCCGCUUUGAGAUGGACCCGCGGCGCAUUAGCUAGUUGGUGAGGUAACGGCUCACCAAGGCGACGAUGCGUAGCCGACCUGAGAGGGUGAUCGGCCACAUUGGAACUGAGACACGGUCCAGACUCCUACGGGAGGCAGCAGUGGGGAAUAUUGCACAAUGGGCGAAAGCCUGAUGCAGCAACGCCGCGUGAGUGAUGAAGGCCUUCGGGUCGUAAAGCUCUUUGAUCAGGGAUGAUAAUGACAGUACCUGAAAAACAAGCCACGGCUAACUACGUGCCAGCAGCCGCGGUAAU
rnacentral:rRNA from 1 species